rnacentral:rRNA from 1 species
AAGCACUAGCUUAAAACCCAAAGGACCUGACGGUGUCUCAGAUCCAUCUAGAGGAGCCUGUUCUAAAACCGAUAACCCCCGUUUAACCUCACCACUCCUAGCCAUCACAGCCUAUAUACCGCCGUCGUCAGCUUACCCUGUGAAGGAAAAAAAGUAAGCAGAAUAGAUAUAAUCAAGAACGUCAGGUCGAGGUGUAGCGCAUGAAGUGGGAAGAAAUGGGCUACAUUUUCUAACACAGAAAACUACGAAUAUGCACCAUGAAACAGUGCUUAAAGGAGGAUUUAACAGUAAGAGGGAAAUAGAGUGUCCCCCUGAACCCGGCUCUGAGACGCGUACACA